rnacentral:lncRNA from 1 species
CGGUUUCUAAAACCAACGGCAGAUCCGGACCAUCCCAACUCCGGAAAGGAGUCCAGAGUUCCUGGUCACAUCAAAGUAGUUCGAUAGAGACAGCUGUCACACAUCGCACACAGUAGGAGGAGUUUUCGUUCUACCAAUACAGAACCUAAUCGCUCACAUCCAGAUUUACGAGCCACGAAGCUUAAUUUAAAAGAAAGAAACAUCUCAUCUUCGUUGUAUCUACAAACAUAAGAAAACUAGUGUACAAGAGCGAGCUCCUAAAACUCCGACGGCCGGACGGAGUAGUCCUCCGGCGACAGGUUCAUGGGGCGGAGAAGGCGUCGUCGAGCCACCACCCGGAGGGAGGCUCGCCAUCCUUCUCGCCAGGCUCCGGGGAGGCACCGAGGAGGGACUCGAUGGCGGUGUGGAUCUGGUUGGCGCGCUUCCGCUGGCGGAUGCGGCGGAGCACCACCUCCUUGUCCAGCGACUGCCGGACGGCGGAGGCGCCGCCCUCGUCGGGCUUGAGGUAGAGGCAGCUCGUGACAGAGCUCUGUGCCGAGGCUUGCCGCUCCCCGUCAUCGCCGCAGCGAGAGGAGGGCGAACGCAAGGGCCUUUUGGGAAUUAGAAAAGCCAUAGUUUCUUCUUCUAAGAGGAGAAAGAGGAGCGGAAUGGGAAUUAUCAUCACAUAGUAGAACG